AAGGAUCAUUACGCAUAGCGGAUGUGGCGCCCCGGUGGCCUCCACCUGGGUGUCCGCUCCCCGCCCCGAUACGUCGGGAUACCCUGUUUUUCUGAGCACCAUUCGUUUCCUCGGCGGGCUCGCCCGCCAAUGAGGACCCCAUGAAACCCUUGCAAUGAGCAGUCAGUCAGUAAGAAAAUAAAUUUGUCACAACUUUCAACAAUGGAUCUCUUGGCUCUGGCAUCGAUGAAGAACGCAGCGAAAUGCGAUAAGUAGUGUGAAUUGCAGAAUUCCGUGAAUCAUCGAAUCUUUGAACGCACAUUGCGCCCCUUGGUAUUCCUUGGGGCAUGCCUGUUCGAGCGUCAUCUACACCCUCAAGCUCUGCUUGGUGUUGGGCGUCUGUCCCGCCUCCUGUGCGUGGACUCGCCUCAAAGCGAUUGGCGGCUGGUAUGAAGGCCCUGGAGUGCAGCAGGAUUGCGCCCCUUGUCCGGAGGCCGGCUCCCACAAGCUAACCCCCACUAUUUUUGACCUCGAAUCAGGUAGGGAUACCCGCUGAACUUA
rnacentral:rRNA from 1 species